rnacentral:rRNA from 1 species
CCCCGAAGCCAAAUCACCCUGAAUAUACCCAACCUCAUCGGAUCUCAGAAGCAAAGCGGAGUUAAGCCUGGUUAGUACUUGGAUGGGAGACCACCAGAGAGUACCGUGUGUCAUGGUGU